UUAAAACAUUAAAAUUCAUGAAAACAUUUUAUAAAACAUGUCUUUACCCUUCUAGAAGUUCCCGACAUCCGAAAUUCCACCGGACGGUAGGAAUUCCGAUACCGGAGUCUAGCCGGGUAUUACAUUCUCCCCCCCUUAAGAACAUUCGUCCCCGAAUGUUCCUCAACUAGUACAUGCAUAGCAUACAUCAUAACAUAUAUACAAACACAAGGAGAUCUAACCUUAAAAGAGAUGAGGAUAUUGCCGGAGCAUAGACUCCCGUGUCUCCCAAGUGCAUUCUUCUAUAUUGUGGUGGUUCCACAGGACUUUCACCAUCGGGAUUUCCUUGUUUCUCAGCUUCCUGAUCUGGGUGUCUAGGAUCCGUACUGGCUGCUCAACAUAGGUGAGAUCCUCUUGGAUCU
rnacentral:lncRNA from 1 species